UAGUAAUACACAGUGGCGAACGGGUGAGUAAUGAAUCGCUAAUGUACCCCGGACUCUGGGAUAGCUAGCCGAAAGGUUAGGUAAUACCAGAUGACAUAUUCCUACCGCAUGGUCGGGAAUCUCAAAGGUCCGCCGGUCUGGGAGCAGGCGAUUUCGUAUCAGCUAGUUGGUGAGGUAACGGCUCACCAAGGCGACGACGCGUAGCCGGACUGAGAGGUUGGCCGGCCACAUCGGGACUGAGACACUGCCCGGACUCCUACGGGGGGCUGCAGUAACGAAUCUUCCCCAAUGCACGAAAGUGUGAGGGAGCGACGCCGCGUGUGGGACGAAGUCCUUCGGGAUGUAAACCACUGUCAGGGGAUACCAAGUUCUGAGGAUCCCCAGAGGAAGAGGCGGCUAACUCUGUGCCAGCAGCCGCGGUAAGACAGAGGCCUCAAGCGUUAGGCGGAAUCACUGGGCUUAAAGCGUGUGUAGGCGGGUCGUUAAGUACCUUGUGAAAUCCCACGGCUCACCCGUGGAACUGCUGGGUAUACUGGCGAUCUUGGGCCAUUUAGGGGCAACUGGAACAAGCGGUGGAGCGGUGAAAUGCGUAGAUAUCGCUUGGAACGCCAAAGGUGAAAACAGGUUGCUGGGAAUGUGCCGACGCUGAGACACGAAAGCCAGGGGAGCAAACGGGAUUAGAUACCCCGGUAGUCCUGGCCCUAAACGAUGUCCACUAGAUUGCGGCGGGUUUGACCCCGUCGCGGUCGAAGCAAAAGUGUUAAGUGGACCGCCUGGGAAGUACGGUCGCAAGGCUAAAACUCAAAGGAAUUGACGGGGGCUCACACAA
rnacentral:rRNA from 1 species